CUGACCUUAGCUCAGCUGGUAGAGCGGAGGACUGUAGAUGGUGAAUGAUGCACAUAUUAUCCUUAGGUUGUUGGUUCAAAUCUGGCAGGUCUGA
rnacentral:tRNA from 1 species